ensembl:snRNA U6 U6 spliceosomal RNA
GUGCUUGCUUCAGCAGCACACAUACUCAAAUCGGAACUAUACAGUGGUUAGCAUGUUCCCUGCACAAGAAUGACACGGAAAUUUGUAAAGUGAUCUGUAUUUUU